GGUCCGGUGGCCGAGGAGAUAACGGCGUUGGCCUUAAAAGGCAGGAUCGGAGUUCGAAUCCCAUCCGGACCG
rnacentral:tRNA from 1 species